rnacentral:lncRNA from 1 species
GUAAGAAGCUACUCUGAACGUCAAUACAAAACACAACAGGUAAGAAGCCGCUCUGAACGUCAAUACAAAACACAACAGGUAAGAAGCUACUCUGAACGUCAAUACAAAACACAACAGGUAAGAAGCCGCUCUGAACGUCAAUACAAAACACAACAGGUAAGAAGCUACUCUGAACGUCAAUACAAAACACAACAGGUAAGAAGCCGCUCUGAACGUCUAAAUGUUGACUCUCCCUCUCUUCUCCUCAUCUCUUCUCUCUCUACUCCUGUCUCCUCUCCCCUGUCUUUUCUCUCCUCUCCUCUCCUUUCCUCUAUCUGAAGGUGACAGUGUGGAACCAGACUCCAAUCACUCUGUUUCGCUCUGUUCCUAUUGAGAGGCGCACACACACCCUGCUUCCCAAACACCCACACCAGACAGACAGACAGACAGACAGACAGACAGACAGACAGACAGACAGACAGACAGACAGACAGACAGACAGACAGACAGACAGACAGACAGACAGACAGACAGACAGACAGACAGACACCCUCGUAUCCAUCAGCAGAAUCAGCUCUGACAGAAACAAACUGCUGAUUUAAAUUUCAGCCUCAAAGUAGUCCAGUGUGUGUGUGUGUGUGUGUGAGA